rnacentral:rRNA from 1 species
CGGGUGAGUAACGCGUGAGGAACCUGCCUCAAAGAGGGGACGAACAGUUGGAAACGACUGCUAAUACCGCAUAAGCCCACGGCUCGGCAUCGAGCAGAGGGAAAAGGAGCAAUCCGCUUUGAGAUGGCCUCGCGUCCGAUUAGCUAGUUGGCGAGGUAACGGCCCACCAAGGCAACGAUCGGUAGCCGGACUGAGAGGUUGAACGGCCACAUUGGGACUGAGACACGGCCCAG